AUUUAAAUAACUUAAGUAAAGAGUGUUAUAUUGAAGAUAUAAAAGUGAUUAAAUUAAUCUUUAAAUA
rnacentral:tRNA from 1 species